rnacentral:rRNA from 1 species
CCUACGGGAGGCAGCAGUGAGGAAUAUUGGUCAAUGGACGAGAGUCUGAACCAGCCAAGUAGCGUGAAGGAUGACUGCCCUAUGGGUUGUAAACUUCUUUUAUAUGGGAAUAAAAUGUUCCACGUGUGGGAUUUUGUAUGUACCAUAUGAAUAAGGAUCGGCUAACUCCGUGCCAGCAGCCGCGGUAAUACGAAGGAUCCGAGCGUUAUCCGGAUUUAUUGGGUUUAACGGGAGCGUAGGUGGAUUGUUAAGUCAGUUGUGAAAGUUUGCGGCUCAACCGUAAAAUUGCAGUUGAAACUGGCAGUCUUGAGUACAGUAGAGGUGGGCGGAAUUCGUGGUGUAGCGGUGAAAUGCUUAGAUAUCACGAAGAACUCCGAUUGCGAAGGCAGUUCACUGGACUGCAACUGACACUGAGGCUCGAAAGUGUGGGUAUCAAACAGGAUUAGAUACCCUUGUAGUC